rnacentral:rRNA from 1 species
AAUGGCUCAUUAAAUCAGUUAUCGUUUAUUUGAUAGUACCUUACUACUUGGAUAACCGUGGUAAUUCUAGAGCUAAUACAUGCUGAAAACCCUGACUUCGGAAAGGGUGUAUUUAUUAGAUAAAAAACCAAUGCCCUUCGGGGCUCUUUGGUGAUUCAUGAUAACUUAACGGAUCGCAUGGCCUUGCGCCGGCGACGGUUCAUUCAAAUUUCUGCCCUAUCAACUUUCGAUGGUAAGGUAUUGGCUUACCAUGGUUUCAACGGGUAACGGGGAAUUAGGGUUCGAUUCCGGAGAGGGAGCCUGAGAAACGGCUACCACAUCCAAGGAAGGCAGCAGGCGCGCAAAUUACCCAAUCCCGACACGGGGAGGUAGUGACAAUAAAUACUGAUACAGGGCUCUUUUGGGUCUUGUAAUCGGAAUGAGUACAAUUUAAACCUCUUAACGAGGAACAAUUGGAGGGCAAGUCUGGUGCCAGCAGCCGCGGUAAUUCCAGCUCCAAUAGCGUAUAUUAAAGUUGUUGCAGUUAAAAAGCUCGUAGUUGAAUCUUGGGCCUGGCUGGCUGGUCCGCCUCACCGCGUGUACUGGUCUGGCCGGGCCUUUCCUUCUGGAGAACCUCAUGCCCUUCAUUGGGUGUGUUGGGGAACCAGGACUUUUACUUUGAAAAAAUUAGAGUGUUCAAAGCAGGCCUUUGCUCGAAUACGUUAGCAUGGAAUAAUAGAAUAGGACGUGCGGUCCUAUUUUGUUGGUUUCUAGGACCGCCGUAAUGAUUAAUAGGGAUAGUCGGGGGCAUCAGUAUUCAAUUGUCAGAGGUGAAAUUCUUGGAUUUAUUGAAGACUAACUACUGCGAAAGCAUUUGCCAAGGAUGUUUUCAUUAAUCAGUGAACGAAAGUUAGGGGAUCGAAGACGAUCAGAUACCGUCGUAGUCUUAACCGUAAACUAUGCCGACUAGGGAUCGGGCGAUGUUAUCAUUUUGACUCGCUCGGCAC